GGGAAUCUACCUAGUUCUACGGAACAACAGAGGGAAACUUCUGCUAAUACCGUAUACGCCCUAUGGGGGAAAGAUUUAUCGGAAUUAGAUGAGCCCGCGUAAGAUUAGCUAGUUGGUGAGGUAAUGGCUCACCAAGGCGACGAUCUUUAGCUGGUCUGAGAGGAUGAUCAGCCACACUGGGACUGAGACACGGCCCAGACUCCUACGGGAGGCAGCAGUGGGGAAUAUUGGACAAUGGGCGCAAGCCUGAUCCAGCCAUGCCGCGUGAGUGAUGAAGGCCUUAGGGUUGUAAAGCUCUUUCAGUGGGGAAGAUAAUGACGGUACCCACAGAAGAAGCCCCGGCUAACUUCGUGCCAGCAGCCGCGGUAAUACGAAGGGGGCUAGCGUUGUUCGGAAUUACUGGGCGUAAAGCGCACGUAGGCGGAUAUUUAAGUCAGGGGUGAAAUCCCAGAGCUCAACUCUGGAACUGCCUUUGAUACUGGGUAUCUUGAGUAUGGAAGAGGUAAGUGGAAUUGUGAGU
rnacentral:rRNA from 1 species